rnacentral:rRNA from 1 species
AUUGAACGCUGGCGGCAUGCCUAACACAUGCAAGUCGAACGAGUGGCGGACGGGUGAGUCAUGUCUCGGAAACUACCCGCUGGAGGGGGAUAACUUUCGGAAACGGCAGCUAAUACCGCAUACCAUCGGAUCGGCCCAUAUCUGAUUAGCUAGUUGGUGGGGUAACGGCUCACCUAGGCGACGAUCCCUAGCGGGUCUGAGAGUAUGGUCAGCCAAACUGGAACUUAGACACGGUCCAGACGCCUACGGGAGGCAGCAGUGGGGAAUAUUGGACAAUGGGCGCAAGCCUGAUGCAGCCAUGCCGCGUGUAUGAAGAAGGCCGUCGGGUUGUAAAGUACUUUCAUCGGGGAGGCGUUACUCGCAGAAGAAGCACCGGCUAACUCCGUGCCAGCAGCCGCGGUAAUUC